UCCACUUCUUUGUCCAUUGUGCUUCCCGUGCCCUCGACAUCUUCCCAAAAACUCCAAGAAUGAUGAGAAGGAUUUUCCCAGAUCGAGAGAUACACCAAAAGUCCCAAACUCAUUUAGGGGAAAACCAGAUGGAGAGAACUCCACGGCAAAAAUGUUCAUAACUCUCAAAUCACGGCGCCGAAGAAGGAAUUUUCCUCUUGCUUGUAUUCAUCUUCUUUUCUGUUGAACCACAUCUACCGUAAUCAAUAGUCGGCGCCUCCAUUCAUCUUCAACCUUCCAACCAUCGUAACACCACCAAAUUCGCACGACCACCACCAUCCUAACACCACCACUUCUGCAUGCUACCACCGUUGACACCACAAUCACCCAAACACUAUCGCAACCGCGCGCUGCCACUGAAAUAAUGCCAGAUCUGUACCCUAAACCCCCUUCAUGCAGCAGAUCUAUUCCCAAACACUAUCGUAAUUUUAAUGAGAUGCAUCUUUUUUUUUUUUGCUACAUUUCCUACUUUUUUUUUGCUUUCAGCCUACUUGGACUUGCCCCGCUAGCUGAACGUGUUAGCUUCCUGACUGAUUGGAGGGCUUCUGAAUGCAGCAUGUGCAAUGCAACCAAGAUGAUCAUAGCAUGAUUAGCACUUCACCAGAACAAAGUUCAUGUUGUGAAGUUGUCCCUGCUGGGUUCCAUUCUCUCAAACCUUCUCUUGGUUCUUGGCAGGGCACUCCUCUAUGGUGGUUUAGCCAAUCUUAAGAGAGAACAAAAAUAUGACAGAGAUGUGGCAAUUGCUUAUGGAUUCAAUGCUAUUAGGUAUCAAGCAGUAGUAGAUAAUAAAGGCUCGAAGAGGUUGCAGUGUACCCAGGAAAUGUCUUGGCCUUGCACAUGUCUAAACCACAAGGAUUUAAGUACUCUAGUGGAUAGUAUAUUUUUUUGAGCUGCCCAGAUGUCUCGCCUUUUCAAUGGUAAUUCAACAUUUAACAUCAGUGCUGAUGUAAGCAAUGAUGUAGAAAUAUGUAGUUUCUAAAAUGGUGUUGACGUCAGCACCAUCUUAGAAACAACAUAUUUCCACAUCGUUCCUGACAUCAGCAUCGAUGUGGAAACGGACAUAUUCUACAUCAUUUACCAAAGGAUGAUCGACUUAGAAGAUGUAAUUUCUACAUCGGUGGUGGGCUGAGAACCGAUGUAGAAAACGUUAUAUUUCUACAACGGUGGAUUUUGGAACGAUGUUGAAACAUAACACUAACAACGAUGUCGUAUUCUACAUUGGUUGAGCACCGAUGUAGAACGUCGUUUUUGACCGAUGUAAAAAGCGCGCUUUCUAGUAGUGUUACUCAAACUAGACAAAUAUCCAUGCGUUGUGCGGAUUUGUAAAUCAUUAAAGAAAUAUUUAAAUAAAUUAU